rnacentral:tRNA from 1 species
GCGGUCGUGGCGGAACUGGCAGACGCGUGCGUUUGAGGGGCGCAUGGGAGACCGUAUGGGUUCAAGUCCCAUCGACCGCACCA